AGUGACCACUUCAGUUGAUCUCAUAUAUAAAUGUAACUAGCGCAGUUGAAAUUAUAUUCGGUAUUACAUUUAACUGUUUUAUUUGAAUGUAAAACAUUUCUAAGAAAUACACCAUGAAUUCUUUACAUCUCAAGUUGGCUUUCUUCGUAUUGACCUUCAUAUCAAUACAACUGUGUUCGAAUAACCCGCCUUUAGCUGAAGGUAAUGUGUGGAAGACUCUGAGACGAGUUUUAAGACCCACGUGUGCAGGUUGUGCAGGAAUUUGUGAAAGAAAAGUCCGAGGACGUUGCCAGUGUAGAGUCGAUCGCGUUUGUAUGAGGAACCGAAACAGGAACAGAUACAGAGGGCGCUAACUAUUAAUAUGAUUUAAUUGUUUAUGCAGCUUUACAAUUCUUUUGUUUUUUUAAUUAAACUUUUCUCUUUACUGAA